CAGUAGCCGCGGUAAUACGAGGGGUGCAAGCGUUAUUCGGAUUGAUUGGGUGUAAAGGGUGUGCAGACGGCUUAUUAAGUCACUUGUUAAAUUCUUCGGCCUAACUGAAGGUCUGCAAGUGAUACUGAUGAGCUAGAGGGUGGAAGAGAGAAGUGGAAUUCUCGGAGUAGCGGUAAAAUGCGUAGAUCUCGAGAGGAACACCAAUGGCGAAGGCAGCUUCUUGGUCCACUCCUGACGUUCAUACACGAAAGCGUGGUGAGCAAACAGGAUUAGAUACCCCCGUAGUCCCUGUCUCUUAUAC
rnacentral:rRNA from 1 species